CCAACGGUUAUAAUCUUCAACCACCGGGUAUUAAUUGUAUUCUCUUAUUUGUUUUUUUUUGUAAAUUUUCUCAGGUAGUACAAAACUAUUAAUAAAAUAGUCUAGAUUACAACGUCAUUGGAUAGAUUCUAGCAUACAACGCGACGAGUGUAAGAGUCCGAGAGAUAAAAAUAAGGAGAUAGCAAGACAAUAAAGCAGGUUAUGCAGCUGUCCGCGGUUCCAAGAUUAAUAACAAAGAAAACACUGAGCUAAAAAAUUGGAAUGAGAAAUAUGGGCCUGUUUAAUACAAUGAGCCCAAAUAAGUUAGGCCUAAUGCACGUUUUCAUUUAGAAUUGAAAGGAAAACUUGGGUGUGAAUGAUGAAAUCAUAAGAUGCAGGAGGAGUUGCCCGCUUGCCCUGCAAGCACACUUUUCAGCCUCCGUGCCUUGGGCCCGUAAGAAUAUAAACAUGAGAUUGGAUAUUUUGACAGUGAAUGAUUAAGUCCAAUUGGAAUAGGAAAGCCUUAUAAGAAGCUGUGUGCAAAUCCCUUGUUUGUGAAGGAUUUUGUUAUAACAUUUAAACUGAUAUGGAUUGGAAAACAUAAGUUGUUCUCUACAAGGAUUUUAAUAGGGAAUCCUUAUUGGAUAAUGAGAGAUAUAUGCCUAUAUAUAUUGUGAGUUUGUGACCUCUGCUCCCACGGAUAAAUACGAAUAAGCUGGUCAAGUAGAAGGAACUCCCAGAGUGUGAAGCCCCUUGGUCUGGGGCAAUUGCACCGUUCUCUCCCUCCGCGCAUGACUAAUCGAGAACGAACUUCGCAAUUAGAGUUUCUCAACCUUCUCAGGCACUGCGGAAUGGUCCCAGAAAGGAUGAGAAAAGGGCUGCUGCCGGGCUAGGACCAGCGCUUGCUGCCCGACUAUCGCAACAAUUGUGCUUUCUACGGAACAAAGUCCUAUUCUUGGUUAGAGUUCAUAAUAAUCUGACAAAGGGGACAAGAGUCCCAGUACGCAGAAAAUCGGUUUGCAGCAUCCAUGGCUACUUCGAAUGGAGGUUCAUCAGAGCCAUGGCUGGAAAUUUGAGAAAAGAGCACCACGCAUCAAAAUUACAAAGUAUGACUAUCCUCCAAAAGAAAAUCUACAACCAUGUAUGGAACCUCCAACCCUCCUCUGUAGCUCUUUCUUUAGCCCGUGCUGACUGGCUACUGCAGUGCCGAGUGCCGAGUGUCGAGUGCCGAUUGCAGGAUCUACAUAGAACACAUCCUAUUUUAAUUGAGAAUUGAAUCAUGUAUUGUUUUAAUUAUGUUUUAAUCAUUAGAUACGGUGAAUGAAUUUGAUGAACACGAGUACUUUGUUAUAUUGUGAGUUCGAACUAUUGUUUUUAAUAGAUGUAAUAUUUAUUAAAUUUUAAUCGUAA